GAUGAACGCUGGCGGCGUGCCUAAUACAUGCAAGUAGAACGCUGAAGGAAGGAGCUUGCUCUUUCCGGAUGAGUUGCGAACGGGUGAGUAACGCGUAGGUAACCUGCCUGGUAGCGGGGGAUAACUAUUGGAAACGAUAGCUAAUACCGCAUAACAGUAGAUGUUGCAUGAUAUCUACUUAAAAGGUGCAAUUGCACCACUACCAGAUGGACCUGCGUUGUAUUAGCUAGUUGGUGAGGUAACGGCUCACCAAGGCGACGAUACAUAGCCGACCUGAGAGGGUGAUCGGCCACACUGGGACUGUGACACGGCCCAGACUCCUACGGGAGGCAGCAGUAGGGAUUCUGCGGCAAUGGACGGAAGUCUGACCAAGCAACGCCGCGUGAGUGAAGAAGGUGUUCGGAUUGUAAAGCUCUGUUGUAAGAGAAGAACGGGUGUGAGAGUGGAAAGUUCACACUGUGACGGUAUCUUACCAGAAAGGGACGGCUAACUACGUG
rnacentral:rRNA from 1 species